rnacentral:rRNA from 1 species
UACGGGGGGGAGCAAGCGUUGUUCGGAUUUACUGGGCGUAAAGGGCGCGUAGGCGGUCAGCACAAGUCAGUUGUGAAAUCUCCGGGCUUAACUCGGAAAGGUCAACUGAUACUGUGCGACUAGAGUGCAGAAGGGGCAACUGGAAUUCUCGGUGUAGCGGUGAAAUGCGUAGAUAAUCGAGAGGAACAGCCUGCGGCGAAGGCGGGUUGCUGGG